rnacentral:rRNA from 1 species
GAUGAACGCUGGCGGCGUGCUUAACACAUGCAAGUCGAACGGAAAGGCCCCGGCUUUGUGGGGUACUCGAGUGGCGAACGGGUGAGUAACACGUGGGUGACCUGCCCUGCACUUCGGGAUAACUCUGGGAAACUGGGGCUAAUACCGGAUAGGAGGUCCGUCUGCAUGCCGUUGUGUGGAGUUUUUCGGUGGGGGAUGAUCUCGCGGCCUAUCAGCUUGUUGGUGGGGUAAUGGCCUACCAAGGCGUCGACGGGUAGCCGGCCUGAGAGGGUGUACGGCCACAUUGGGACUGAGAUACGGCCCAGACUCCUACGGGAGGCAGCAGUGGGGAAUAUUGCACAAUGGGCGGAAGCCUGAUGCAGCAACGCCGCGUGGGGGAUGACGGCCUUCGGGUUGUAAACCCCUUUCGCUAGGGACGAAGCGUGAGUGACGGUACCGGGUAAAGAAGCACCGGCUAACUACGUG